CCGCAAGAUCCAUCUUUCCAAACCCGAAGUUAUUACUCCAAUUUGCUUUUGAGCACUCAAGCUGCAUCACCUAGCACAGAUCCAGCGUACGCAAUCUCAGGCACCACUCUUACAGCUUCCAGAAGCUCCAGCUCGUCCGCCUUCCUCUUCUCUGCUGUCGCUGUCCCCUAGCCCUGCUAAAUGCCCCCAUCCAUUGAUAAACCUUUAGCACAUGCUCCCAUUGCAAGGAGUGCUUUCCGCAUCUCCUUACAUUGUUCUAGUUCAUGAACAAGAAACUCAAAUCCCGGUCAAAAACUGAGAAUAUCGAAAACAAAAUAGUAGACGAAGACUUUGUUGCUCGGGGACCAACGCACAAUCAAAAUUAUGGGAC
rnacentral:lncRNA from 1 species